rnacentral:misc_RNA from 1 species
UUUCUUUUAGUCUUGAAGAAAGGAAUCUGAGCUUGUAAAGGAAUAUGUUGUGGGCAUGGAUCUUUUCUUUCUAAUGUUUUUAUAUGCACCAUCAUUUUUGUGUUUCUUUAGACUUUAUCCAAGACAUUGAGCAAUAGGAGGGAUAAAGUGUCUUUUAUUUUAAAAAAGCUGUUGUUUGUGCGCUGGGUGAUGAUCUUAGUAGAUGUUUAUUUAUUUGGAAGCAAAUAAAUCAAGUAAUGGAAUAAUGUAGUAUGUGUUGAUACUAUUUCAACUAUUAAUCAAUUUAGUUUUCCAAUUAGACUGAAUAAUGGGA